CAGCAGCCGCGGGAAUACGUAGGGUGCAAGCGUUAAUCGGAAUUACUGGGCGUAAAGCGUGCGCAGGCGGUUGUAUAAGUCAGAUGUGAAAUCCCCGGGCUCAACCUGGGAACUGCAUUUGAGACUGUAUGGCUAGAGUGUGUCAGAGGGGGGUAGAAUUCCACGUGUAGCAGUGAAAUGCGUAGAUAUGUGGAGGAAUACCGAUGGCGAAGGCAGCCCCCUGGGAUAACACUGACGCUCAUGCACGAAAGCGUGGGGAGCAAACAGGAUUAGAUACCCGGGUAGUCCCUGUCUCUUAUAC
rnacentral:rRNA from 1 species